rnacentral:rRNA from 1 species
CCUACGGGCGGCAGCAGUGGGGAAUAUUGCGCAAUGGGCGAAAGCCUGACGCAGCGACGCCGCGUGAGGGAUGAAGGUCUUCGGAUCGUAAACCUCUGUCAGCAGGGAAGAACGGUCACUGUGCUAAUCAGCAGUGAAUUGACGGUACCUGCAAAGGAAGCACCGGCUAACGCCGUGCCAGCAGCCGCGAUAAUACGGAGGGUGCGAGCGUUAAUCGGAAUUACUGGGCGUAAAGCGCUCGUAGGCGGUAUGUCAAGUCAAGGGUGAAAUCCCCGCGCUCAACGUGGGAACUGCCUUUGAAACUGGCAAACUGGAGUGUGUGAGAGGAUAGUGGAAUUCGAGGUGUAGGAGUGAAAUGCGUAGAUAUCUGGAGGAACAUCAGUGGCGAAGGCGACUAUCUGGCACAUAACUGACGCUGAGGAGCGAAAGCGUGGGUAGCAAACAGGAUUAGAUACCCUUGUAGUC